GUCGUGGUCCGGGCCGAGCAGGCCCCGCCACUACUGCUGGUGGUGGUUGGGGCUCAGCCCUCGACCGUGACGCC
rnacentral:tRNA from 1 species